rnacentral:rRNA from 1 species
CACGUAGGGUGCGAGCGUUGUCCGGAAUUAUUGGGCGUAAAGAGCUCGUAGGCGGUGUGUCGCGUCGGCCGUGAAAACCUGCAGCUUAACUGUGGGCUUGCGGUCGAUACGGGCAUCACUGGAGUUCGGCAGGGGAGACUGGAAUUCCUGGUGUAGCGGUGAAAUGCGUAGAGAUCCGGAAGAACACCGGAGGCGAAGGCGGCUUGCUGGGCGUGAUCUGACGCUGAGGCGCGAAAGCGUGGGGAGCGAACAGG